rnacentral:rRNA from 1 species
CACGUAGGGCGCAAGCGUUGUCCGGAAUUAUUGGGCGUAAAGAGCUCGUAGGCGGUCUGUUACGUCUGCUGUGAAAACCCUGGGCUUAACCCUGGGCUUGCAGUGGAUACGGGCAGACUAGAGGCAGGUAGGGGAGAAUGGAAUUCCCGGUGUAGCGGUGAAAUGCGCAGAUAUCGGGAGGAACACCAAUGGCGAAGGCAGCUCGCUGGAACGGUACUGACGCUGAGGCGCGAAAGCGUGGGGAGCAAACAGG